rnacentral:tRNA from 1 species
GGCAACAUGGACGAGUGGUAAGGCAGAGGACUGCAAAUCCUUUUUUCCCCAGUUCAAAUUUGGGUGUCAUCU